rnacentral:piRNA from 1 species
UGGAAACUCAGCAGAGCCUUUAGGAUCUGGAC